GAUAUCCUACGGGGGGCAGCAGUGGGGUAUAUUGCACAGUGGGGGAAACCCUGAUGCAGCGACGCCGCGUGUGGGAAGACGGUCCCCUGGAUUGUAAACCCCUGUCCCCAGGGACGAAGAUGACGGUACCUGGGGAGGAAGCUCCGGCUAACCACGUGCCAGCAGCCGCGGUAAUACGUAGGGAGCGAGCGUUGUCCGGAAUUACUGGGUGUAAAGGGAGCGUAGGCGGGACUGCAAGUUGGGGGUCAAAUCUACAGGCGC
rnacentral:rRNA from 1 species